GCCGGCCCCUGGGCGCCCCGAGGUGCCCCGGGAGCCCCCCCCGGGGCCGGGGGGAGGCGAGGAGCGGAGAUGCGGCGGGUGCCGGCCGCACCGGGAGCGGGCAGCCGGGCGGCUGCGUCCUCGCUCGCCGCAGGUUUGAAGGUAAAGUGCGUGCGAUUUGUCACCCGCACAAAAGGGAGGAGGAAGGAAAGACGAGCAAGGAAACAAACCACGCAGGGGAGGGAUGGGAGGGAGAAACAAAGGGAAGAAUAAAACCCUCUCCGGGAACAAGCAAACAAAGAGGUGCGAAACGCUCCCCAGCCUCACCAGUCCCAGCAAGUGGGCCUGACCUGAAGAAGUCCUCUUCGUCCUCAAGGCUGUCAGCCCAGAGCCACAGGCACCUGAAUGGGAGCUCAGGACCACAUCCCCAGGGGAUUUCGUGCACAGCAGGAGGAGAAAGCCUGAGCUGAAACACUACAUGCAUCAUAAAACCAUGGGCACAGCAUGCUCAGGAAAUGUAACACCCUGAACACACCUCAGGAAAAAGCCUGAACUCCAAACAACAAACGAAGGCAUCUUUCCCAGGAACAGAAAAUUCCUGACUCCAUCAGGAGAAUGAAAACCAGGGGUUGCACUGGUUGCUGGAUAAGCCAUUUCAGAUCACCCGCUUGUCGUUUGGAUUGCCUUACCCCUCUUCCAUUGAAGUGCAGCAGUCUGGUAAGCACUGUCCACUUUCCAGGCUUUGACAACCUCCUCCUUUCUGCACCACUGGCUCUUUCAGAGGAGAUGUUUUUUUCCAUAAAUGAGUGGCUGAGGCUUGUUAUCUGAGUUCUCUGAAAUACUAUUGUGACAAAUAUCAGUGGCUAGUGGCUGUAUUUCCCAAAUGAAGGUACUGUCCAUUCUUCAGUGUGAUACUGGAGUCAUCUUCUGCUAGUAUGACCAUGUUAUUUCCAAGGACACAUCUGGCCCUGAGGCAGAAGCACCCCUGCUUUCAGACGGCUGAUGGAGGAGCUGGCUGCUAGUGCAGGGCUGUGUGGCAGGGACAUCUCCUCACAGCAGGGCACCUGACCUGAUAAAUGACUUCCAAUCUUGUUGGAUACCAGGUACGGACAAAUGCACAAGGCUGCUGCAUGGGUGGUAUGGAAGGGAAAGAGGAGAAAUAAAUUGUGUUUCACAUGGGAAAAAAAGAUUUAA
rnacentral:lncRNA from 1 species